GGCUGGUCCGAUGGGUUAUCAGAACUUAUUAACAUUAGUGUCACUAAAGUUGGUAUACCACCCCCCCCACUGCUAAAUUUGACUGGCUUUAA
ensembl:misc_RNA Y_RNA Y RNA